GACGAACGCUGGCGGCGUGCUUAACACAUGCAAGUCGAACGGAAAGUCCCUGCUCUUGUGUUGUUCCCGCGUGGCGAACGGGUGAGUGACACGUGAGUAACCUGCCCGUGACUUUGGGCUAACUUCAGGAAACUCAGGCUAAUACCGGAUAGAAUCUCCUGUUACUUGGUUUGCGUUGGAAAGUUUCGGCGGUUGGGGAUGGAGGGGCGGCUUAUCAGCUUGUUGGUGGGGUUUGGGCUUUCGAAGGCGUUGGCGGGUAGCCGGCCUGAGAGGGUGACCGGCCCCAUGGGGACUGAGGUAGGGCCCAGAGGCAUACGUGAGGCAGCAGUGGGAAACAUUGCGCAAUGGGCGGAAGCAGGAUGCAGCAACGCCGCGUGGUGGAAGACUGUUUUCGGGGUGUAAACAGCAUUCGCCUGUAACGAAGCGUGAGUGACGGUAAUGAGUAAAGAAGCACCGGCUAACUACGUG
rnacentral:rRNA from 1 species